ACAGUGCGUGGCCGAAUGGUUACGCUGUCCGCUUUGUACGCGGAUGAUUCUGGGUUCGAUUCCCAUCUGCUGCA
rnacentral:tRNA from 1 species